UCAAGUUUAUAAGGGCAUACGGCGGAUGCCUAGGCGUUUCGAAACGAAGAAGGACGCGAUAAGCUGCGAUAAGCCGUGGUUAGCUGCAAGUAAGCAUUGAUCCACGGAUUUCCGAAUGGGGCAACCCGGCAAGAGUAACGUCUUGUCACCUUAUCUUCGAGAUAAGGAGAAAACACCCGAUGAACUGAAACAUCUAAGUAGUCGGAGGAAAAGAAAUCAAAGAGAUUCCCUGAGUAGCGGCGAGCGAAACGGGAAGAGCCCAAACCAAGAGACUUCGGUUUCUUGGGGUUGCGGACCUGCAACAAACCGGACACUUUAGUGGAAGCAUCUGGGAAGGUGCGGCAAAGAGAGUGAGACCCUCGUACACGAAAGAGUGAAAAGCGGGCAGGGAUCCAGAGUACCACAGGGCACGAGGAACCCAGUGGGAAGCAGGGUGGACCACCAUCCAAGGCUAAAUACAUCGAAACGACCGAUAGUGAAAAGUACCGUGAGGGAAAGGUGAAAAGAACCCCGGGAGGGGAGUGCAAAAGAACCUGAAACCGUAUGUCUACAAACAGUCGGAGCACAAUUUAACGUGCGACGGCGUGCCUAUUGAAGAAUGAACCGGCGAGUUAAUUUAUGCUGCGAGGUUAAGCAGAAGAUGCGGAGCCGAAGCGAAAGCGAGUCUUAAGAGGGCGAUGAGUAGCAUGGAUUAGACCCGAAACCACAGUGAUCUAUGCAUGUCCAGGUUGAAGCUCAGGUAAAAAUGAGUGGAGGACCGAACCCGUGCGUGUUGAAAAACGUUGGGAUGAGGUGUGCAUAGGGGUGAAAUGCCAAUCGAACGUGGAGAUAGCUGGUUCUCCCCGAAAUAGCUUUAGGGCUAGCCUCAGGCGAAUCACCAUAGAGACGGUAGAGCACUGAUCGGGCAAGGGGGCGUAAAGCCUACCGACCCCAGUCAAACUACGAAUGGCUCAUAUGGGCAGCCUGGGAGUCAGAAUGCGAGUGAUAAGACCCGUAUUCAAGAGGGAAACAGCCCAGACCGCCGGCUAAGGUCCCAAAUGCUGUGCUAAGUGGAAAAGGAUGUAGGACUUCGAAAACAACCAGGAUGUUGGCUCAGAAGCAGCCACCAUUAAAAGAGUGCGUAAUAGCUCACUGGUCGAGAGGCCCUGCGCCGAAAAUAUCCGGGGCUAAAGCACAGAACCGAAGCCGCGGCAGGGUGUACUAAGGUACACACUGGGUAGGGGAGCGUUCUUAUCUGGACGAAGGCAGACCGGAAGGACUGCUGGACGGGUAAGAAGUGAGAAUGCCGGUAUGAGUAGCGAAACGACAGGUGAGAAUCCUGUCCACCGAAAGCCUAAGGGAUCCUGGGCAACGCUCGUCGCCCCAGGGUAAGUCGGGACCUAAGCCGAGGCGAAAAGCAUAGGCGAUGGACAACUGGCGAAAAUUCCAGUACCGGGCGUCUUCGUUUAAGGAUGGAGUGACGCAGGAAGGAAGCUGAGCGCGCGAAUGGUUGGGCGCGUCGAAGGCGGUAGGCUUGUAUGGAGGCAAAUCCCCAUACUAUAAGGCCGAGAACCGAUAGAUAGGAAAGACUACGGUCAAUCUGAAUUCAGCUGCACUACACUGCCAAGAAAAGCUUCUAACGAGAAGACGUCUGCCCGUACCAAAACCGACACAGGUAGGCGGGGAGAGAAUCCUAAGGUGCGCGGGAAAACCCUCGUUAAGGAACUCGGCAAAAUGCAUCCGUAACUUCGGGAAAAGGAUGGCCGUAGCUGGUGAAGCUUUUUACAAGUGGAGCUGGAGACGGCGGCAGAAAAGAGGCCCAAGCGACUGUUUACCACAAACACAGGUGCCUGCGAAAGCGCAAGCUGAAGUAUAGGUGCUGACGCCUGCCCGGUGCAGGAAGGUUAAGGAGAGUUGUUAGUCCUAGAGAUGAAGCAGCGAACUGAAGCCCCUGUAAACGGCGGCCGUAACUAUAACGGUCCUAAGGUAGCGAAAUUCCUUGUCGGGU
rnacentral:rRNA from 1 species